rnacentral:rRNA from 1 species
AAGCCUGACGCAGCGACGCCGCGUGGGGGAUGACGGCCUUCGGGUUGUAAACCUCUUUCAGCAGGGACGAAGCGCAAGUGACGGUACCUGCAGAAGAAGCACCGGCCAACUACGUGCCAGCAGCCGCGGUAAUACGUAGGGUGCAAGCGUUGUCCGGAAUUAUUGGGCGUAAAGAGCUCGUAGGCGGUUUGUUGCGUCGGCUGUGAAAUCCCGAGGCUCAACCUCGGGUCUGCAGUCGAUACGAGCAAACUAGAGUGUUGCAGGGGAGACUGGAAUUCCUGGUGUAGCGGUGAAAUGCGCAGAUAUCAGGAGGAACACCGGUGGCGAAGGCGGGUCUCUGGGCAACAACUGACGCUGAGGAGCGAAAGCGUGGGGAGCGAACAGGAUUAGAUACCCUGGUAGUCCACGCCGUAAACGUUGGGCGCUAGGUGUGGGGCUCAUUCCACGAGUUCCGUGCCGCAGCUAACGCAUUAAGCGCCCCGCCUGGGGA